GUGAUUGGAUGGUUUACGCUGUCAACUGUCAAUACAGGAGACAAACCAAUGGGCCACUGGCUGCUCAUUGUCCGUGCAUGAUGGCCCCUUAAGUGCGUCGGCCCACCGGGAAAAUGCCCGGUAUGCCCGAUUACCAGUCCAGCCCUGGGAAUGAGUUACUUAUACUAUUACUGUUUUCUUUUUCUCAAUUCUAGGCCAAAGCUAUAAUAGAUUGAACAUUUUGGGGGGUUUUGGUGGUUUUCUUGGUUUUCUUGGUGUUCUUGCUCUUGUCAGAUAUUUCUACAAGCGUAAACAAAGAAGACAAAAAGAGGCUACGAGUCAAACUGUGACCAGCCAAAAUUCCCCACAAGUGGCUUUCAGUUACUCCGCAGACAGCAACCAAAUGAGGGGCAAUCUUUGCUUUAACCAGGGUGCGAACUACGGGGGAACUAUGGCGAGCUCGGCUCCCCCUAAUAAGACAUGGGCUCCCCUGAAAACGUGAUUUGUGAAAUUUUGGGGGGUCUCAAAAAAUAUUGACAAUGUGUUAUUUUGACGUGCAAUUUCAGUUUUGUGUAAUGUAAUCAUCGUGGAUUAUUAUGUGUAAAAUUGCAAAAAUAUAAUUCAUUCAUGCAUGACGGCGAUUUAAACCUAAUUCACUUCAAUAAAGAUAACUAUACAUGCUAUUCUUGUCAUGAGCAUCAAGGUGUGGGGCGCUGCGGUGCAAAUUCCACUCAUGUUUAGUACAUGUUAACUCAAAGAUUUGAAGAAAAAAUAUAAACGUUGAAUUCUGGUCGAUUCUGUGUUAAGGUAAGGCAUGUUAUUCGCAAUUAUGUGUUGUGGCUGAGUUGUUAUAGGUCUGCGAUGUCUUAGGCCUAACCGAACGGAGGAAUUAUGGUAUUCUUCUGUAGCCUGACGACGAGUAACUUUACAUUAACUGUUGUUCAUGUGAACUCAAAGACAGCCUGAUGCUUUGUUUAUAAACUAUUUGUGGGUGGCUGUUUGUUGUUUCACCUAUCAAUUAAUGUCGAUAAAGUAUAAUAGGGUAAAUCCUGUAUAGUGAUUUAUCCUAUAUACUAUAGUGCUUGCAUAAAGCAAGUAGUGCAUACACUUGUAGCUGUUAUGUAUCUUUGUAAGUCAUUGUAAGCCCUCUUUUGAGGCAUGCACAAGCGCACGAACGUUAUAAAAAAAAAGACAAGUGGGUUCCCCCAAAGUCCACUAUAUACACUGAAAAUUUUUUUUUGUUGGAUUUACUCAAUUGA
rnacentral:lncRNA from 1 species